UUAAGCGACUAAGCGUACACGGUGGAUGCCCUGGCAGUCAGAGGCGAUGAAGGACGUGCUAAUCUGCGAUAAGCGUCGGUAAGGUGAUAUGAACCGUUAUAACCGGCGAUUUCCGAAUGGGGAAACCCAGUGUGAUUCGUCACACUAUCAUUAACUGAAUCCAUAGGUUAAUGAGGCGAACCGGGGGAACUGAAACAUCUAAGUACCCCGAGGAAAAGAAAUCAACCGAGAUUCCCCCAGUAGCGGCGAGCGAACGGGGAGCAGCCCAGAGCCUGAAUCAGUGUGUGUGUUAGUGGAAGCGUCUGGAAAGGCGCGCGAUACAGGGUGACAGCCCCGUACACAAAAAUGCACAUGCUGUGAGCUCGAUGAGUAGGGCGGGACACGUGGUAUCCUGUCUGAAUAUGGGGGGACCAUCCUCCAAGGCUAAAUACUCCUGACUGACCGAUAGUGAACCAGUACCGUGAGGGAAAGGCGAAAAGAACCCCGGCGAGGGGAGUGAAAAAGAACCUGAAACCGUGUACGUACAAGCAGUGGGAGCACGCUUAGGCGUGUGACUGCGUACCUUUUGUAUAAUGGGUCAGCGACUUAUAUUCUGUAGCAAGGUUAACCGAAUAGGGGAGCCGAAGGGAAACCGAGUCUUAACUGGGCGUUAAGUUGCAGGGUAUAGACCCGAAACCCGGUGAUCUAGCCAUGGGCAGGUUGAAGGUUGGGUAACACUAACUGGAGGACCGAACCGACUAAUGUUGAAAAAUUAGCGGAUGACUUGUGGCUGGGGGUGAAAGGCCAAUCAAACCGGGAGAUAGCUGGUUCUCCCCGAAAGCUAUUUAGGUAGCGCCUCGUGAAUUCAUCUCCGGGGGUAGAGCACUGUUUCGGCAAGGGGGUCAUCCCGACUUACCAACCCGAUGCAAACUGCGAAUACCGGAGAAUGUUAUCACGGGAGACACACGGCGGGUGCUAACGUCCGUCGUGAAGAGGGAAACAACCCAGACCGCCAGCUAAGGUCCCAAAGUCAUGGUUAAGUGGGAAACGAUGUGGGAAGGCCCAGACAGCCAGGAUGUUGGCUUAGAAGCAGCCAUCAUUUAAAGAAAGCGUAAUAGCUCACUGGUCGAGUCGGCCUGCGCGGAAGAUGUAACGGGGCUAAACCAUGCACCGAAGCUGCGGCAGCGACGCUGAUGCGUUGUUGGGUAGGGGAGCGUUCUGUAAGCCUGUGAAGGUGUACUGUGAGGUAUGCUGGAGGUAUCAGAAGUGCGAAUGCUGACAUAAGUAACGAUAAAGCGGGUGAAAAGCCCGCUCGCCGGAAGACCAAGGGUUCCUGUCCAACGUUAAUCGGGGCAGGGUGAGUCGACCCCUAAGGCGAGGCCGAAAGGCGUAGUCGAUGGGAAACAGGUUAAUAUUCCUGUACUUGGUGUUACUGCGAAGGGGGGACGGAGAAGGCUAUGUUGGCCGGGCGACGGUUGUCCCGGUUUAAGCGUGUAGGCUGGUUUUCCAGGCAAAUCCGGAAAAUCAAGGCUGAGGUGUGAUGACGAGGCACUACGGUGCUGAAGCAACAAAUGCCCUGCUUCCAGGAAAAGCCUCUAAGCAUCAGGUAACAUCAAAUCGUACCCCAAACCGACACAGGUGGUCAGGUAGAGAAUACCAAGGCGCUUGAGAGAACUCGGGUGAAGGAACUAGGCAAAAUGGUGCCGUAACUUCGGGAGAAGGCACGCUGAUAUGUAGGUGAAGUCCCUCGCGGAUGGAGCUGAAAUCAGUCGAAGAUACCAGCUGGCUGCAACUGUUUAUUAAAAACACAGCACUGUGCAAACACGAAAGUGGACGUAUACGGUGUGACGCCUGCCCGGUGCCGGAAGGUUAAUUGAUGGGGUCAGCGCAAGCGAAGCUCUUGAUCGAAGCCCCGGUAAACGGCGGCCGUAACUAUAACGGUCCUAAGGUAGCGAAAUUCCUUGUCGGGUAAGUUCCGACCUGCACGAAUGGCGUAAUGAUGGCCAGGCUGUCUCCACCCGAGACUCAGUGAAAUUGAACUCGCUGUGAAGAUGCAGUGUACCCGCGGCAAGACGGAAAGACCCCGUGAACCUUUACUAUAGCUUGACACUGAACAUUGAGCCUUGAUGUGUAGGAUAGGUGGGAGGCUUUGAAGUGUGGACGCCAGUCUGCAUGGAGCCGACCUUGAAAUACCACCCUUUAAUGUUUGAUGUUCUAACGUGGACCCGUAAUCCGGGUUGCGGACAGUGUCUGGUGGGUAGUUUGACUGGGGCGGUCUCCUCCUAAAGAGUAACGGAGGAGCACGAAGGUUGGCUAAUCCUGGUCGGACAUCAGGAGGUUAGUGCAAUGGCAUAAGCCAGCUUGACUGCGAGCGUGACGGCGCGAGCAGGUGCGAAAGCAGGUCAUAGUGAUCCGGUGGUUCUGAAUGGAAGGGCCAUCGCUCAACGGAUAAAAGGUACUCCGGGGAUAACAGGCUGAUACCGCCCAAGAGUUCAUAUCGACGGCGGUGUUUGGCACCUCGAUGUCGGCUCAUCACAUCCUGGGGCUGAAGUAGGUCCCAAGGGUAUGGCUGUUCGCCAUUUAAAGUGGUACGCGAGCUGGGUUUAGAACGUCGUGAGACAGUUCGGUCCCUAUCUGCCGUGGGCGCUGGAGAACUGAGGGGGGCUGCUCCUAGUACGAGAGGACCGGAGUGGACGCAUCACUGGUGUUCGGGUUGUCAUGCCAAUGGCACUGCCCGGUAGCUAAAUGCGGAAGAGAUAAGUGCUGAAAGCAUCUAAGCACGAAACUUGCCCCGAGAUGAGUUCUCCCUGACUCCUUGAGAGUCCUGAAGGAACGUUGAAGACGACGACGUUGAUAGGCCGGGUGUGUAAGCGCAGCGAUGCGUUGAGCUAACCGGUACUAAUGAACCGUGAGGCUUAACCUU
rnacentral:rRNA from 1 species